rnacentral:rRNA from 1 species
UACGUAGGUGGCAAGCGUUGUCCGGAAUUAUUGGGCGUAAAGCGCGCGCAGGCGGUCCUUUAAGUCUGAUGUGAAAUCUCGCGGCUCAACCGCGAGCGGUCAUUGGAAACUGGAGGACUUGAGUGCAGAAGAGGAAAGCGGAAUUCCAUGUGUAGCGGUGAAAUGCGUAGAGAUAUGGAGGAACACCAGUGGCGAAGGCGGCUUUCUGGUCUGUAACUGACGCUGAGGCGCGAAAGCGUGGGGAGCAAGCAGG